rnacentral:tRNA from 1 species
GCGCCCGUAGCUCAGUGGACAGAGUCGCUGGCUUCGAACCAGAAGGUCGCAGGUUCGAGUCCUGCCGGGCGCGCCA